UUCUCCCACCUGUCUCCUGAUUCUGCCUCUUCCUGUCCUCAUCCUGUUAGUGGUUCUCUCCUCUUCCUUCAGAUGAAAUAUUGUGUCUAGUGAUGUCCGAUUGCCCAACAACCUGCCCACUCGACCAGACCCCAACCCCUCCUCCCUCUUAUGUCUGACCACUGGCUGCUUUCUCUCCAACUUCGACUGCCAGUCGUACCCCUCCUCAAGAAACGAACACUUCUCAAACAGAACCAUCCACUGACCACAGAUAUACCCUCCGACAUGGUAAAAAGACAGCAAAACCGGCACAGACACAGACCUGGACCCACCUGAUGUCCUCUAGGUGCUCUGUCAUGCUCUGAGAAGCCUACCGUAUCCCUUCCCCAGACCUGGAUCUACCUGAUGUCCUCUAAGGGUCUGUCAUGCUCUGAGAAGCCUACGGUAUCCCUUCCCCAGACCUGGGUCUACCUGAUGUCCUCCAGGGGUUCUGUCAUGCUCUGAGAAGCCUACGGUAUCCCUUCCCCAGACCUGGGUCUACCUGAUGUCCUCUAGGGGUUCUGUCAUGCUCUGAGAAGCCUACGGUAUCCCUUUCCCGGACCUGGAUCUACUUGAUGUCCUCCAUGAUCAACCACCCUCCAAGAUUCCACUUUUCAUUACAUUAUCUACAGCUACUGUUAAUGUCAUGUGGUUUGAUCUAAUCUGCUAUGGACCUGACCUUGACAUAUCAUCCUGGGCACAGUGAGAUACACUGAUGCACCACAUACGCUAGCACUGCAAACACUCCAAGAGCAAAGAAAACAGCUGUGCAUGGACUUUACAGACUCCGUCUUCAAGUCCACCUUCUGAGACUGGCUGCCUGUCGAGGGAAAGUGACUGGCAGAACCACCUGUAGCAUCCACCUCUUUUCUAUCCCACACGCCAGAACUGAGAUUUUUUUUAAAUCAGACCCUACUUCUCCCACGACUGUCCCCAUCUCAUAUUAUGUACUUUACUUGUCAUUUAUACUUCUGUUUUCUCAACUAAAUUGUAUUUUAUUGUUUGUGUUGAUGUUUGCCUAUACUCAUGUAUUUCAGUCUGUAACUGCCAUGUGGGUAUAUACAAUAAAAUCAACAAGUUCAUGACACACCUCUUACACAAAAAAAUGUCAGGUUGGUAUUUUACACAGGUUGUUCAUUUAAAACUUCUUAUGGCUGGGGGCAGUAUUGAGUAGCUUGGAUGAAUAAGGUGCCCAGAGUAAACUGCCUGCUACUCAGUCCCAGAAAAUAAGAUAUGCAUAUUAUUUAGUAUAUUUGGAUAGAAAACACUCUGAAGUUUCUAAAACUGUUUGAAUGAUGUCUGUGAGUAUAACAGAACUCAUAUGGCAGAAAAAAAACUGAGAAAAAACUAGCUUGUGUUCCAUUGCAUUUCUGAAGACAAAGAAAUUCUCCUUCAACAUUAUUGAAGAUUUAUGAUAAAAACAUCCUAAAGAUUAAUUCUAUACAUCGUUUGACAUGUUUCUACGGACUGUAACGGAACUUUUGGACUUUUCGUCUGCUUGCACCUCAUGAAUUUGGAUUACUGGGUUAAACGCGUGAACAAAAAUGGGUGGUAUUUGGAUGAUGUCACGUGAGUUUGGGUGGGCAUUCUAUGUCUGGUGUUCUAUGUUGUCCUAUUUUUGUAUUUCUGUGUGUUUGGCCUGGUAUGGUUCUCAGAGGCAGCUGUCUAUCGUUGUCUCUGAUUGAUAAUCAUACUUAGGUAGCCUGU